GGUUCGUUUCCCGCUCUGAAUA
rnacentral:misc_RNA from 1 species